UGAAAUUGUACAUGCAGUGCGUAUGCACCGAAACCGAAAGACGUAAGAAACCGAAAUAGGUUCAUUGAAAUAAAUACACAAAAAAAUAACAACUGAACAAUGUCGCGUCUUUUUUCAUCGGUUCAAUAUUUAGCAACAACAAAAAACAGCAGCAAAAACAACUCAUUGCAUACAUAACACGAAAUACUGUCGUACAUAAAACUGACUACUUGGAACCACCGAUUAGAAGUACUUGACACUCGGCCAACCUAA